AACCAGUGAACUGGGAAUAAUGGAGGAGAGAGGCAACUGGGGGAUGAGGAGGGGAGAGAGGGUGAUAGGGGGCACGAAGAUGAUGAAGCCAUGCUAUGAUUGCAGCCGUGCUAGGGGUGGUGGUUUUUCACACUCCCACAGCCCCUGCCCCCCCAACCCUUCCCUCCGCCCUUCUCCCAGCCACAUUGAUGUGAAGAAGAGAGAAAGAGGCCAGUGAGGAGGGGAAAGAAGCAGAGGUCUGAGUUCAGAGGAUCUAUCCAGACGGAGAUAGAGAAGGGUAGGAGUGGUGGUGAGAGGAGGUCAAUCUGGGGGAGGGCUAGAGGGGUAGUGGAUCUGCUAAUCGAUUGUGCCGACCCCUCCUGUGUCUCCAACCCAGACGUUAACCCAGACCGUCUCAGCUGGAACAUGUUCAGAGACAAAUCUAUCUGUUAGUGAUAUAGGGCUUGUUUGACUAUUAAUGGAUGGUAUGAGGGGUUGCCAUGACUUCCUAGCUGAACAAACGCCUUUACCACUUGUUUACUAAAGGUUUAAAAGAAUAGUUCACUUGUUUACUAAAGGUUUAAAAGAAUAGUUCACUUGUUUACUAAAGGUUUAAAAUAAUAGUUCACUUGUUUACUAAAGGUUUAAAAGAAUAGUUCACUUGUUUACUAAAGGUUUAAAAGAAUAGUUCACUUGUUUACUAAAGGUUUAAAGGACUAGUUCACUUGUUUACUAAAGGUUUAAAGGACUAGUUCACUUGUUUACUAAAGGUUUAAAGGACUAGUUCACUUGUUUACUAAAGGUUUAAAGGAAUAGUUUUGUAGAUGUUCAAUGUACCUAACGGUGUUGUCGUUUGUCACUGUUUCCAACAGCAAAGGAACAUAUUAAACCGUUUGGAUGAAAAAUGACAACACCCCAGGUAAGUCAAGACUAUGCUACAACUUUGCAAAC